UAUAGAUGGAUCCGCGCUGCAUUAGCUAGUUGGUAAGGUAACGGCUUACCAAGGCAACGAUGCAUAGCCGACCUGAGAGGGUGAUCGGCCACACUGGAACUGAGACACGGUCCAGACUCCUACGGGAGGCAGCAGUAGGGAAUCUUCCGCAAUGGGCGAAAGCCUGACGGAGCAACGCCGCGUGAGUGAUGAAGGUCUUCGGAUCGUAAAACUCUGUUAUUAGGGAAGAACAUAUGUGUAAGUAACUGUGCACAUCUUGACGGUACCUAAUCAGAAAGCCA
rnacentral:rRNA from 1 species